GGGUUAAGUCCCGCAACGAGCCGCAACCCUUUGUCUUUAAUUGCCAUCAUUCAGUUGGCAACUUUAAAGAGACUGCCGGUGUUAAACCGGAGGAAGGUGGGAUGACGUCAAGUCCUCAUGGCCUUUAUGCCCAGGGCUACACACGUGCUACAAUGGGUGGUACAAAGAGAUGCAAUCUCGCAAGAGCAAGCAAACCUACAAAAAGCCAUCCUCAGUUCGGAUUGGAGUCUGCAACUCGACUCCAUGAAGUCGGAAUCGCUAGUAAUCGCGGAUCAGCACGCCGCGGUGAAUACGUUCCCGGGCCUU
rnacentral:rRNA from 1 species